UCUACGGGUGGCAGCAGUGGGGGAUAUUGCACAAUGGGGGAAACCCUGAUGCAGCGACGCCGCGUGGGCGAAGAAGUAUUUCGGUAUGUAAAGCCCUAUCAGCAGGGAAGAAGGAAUGACGGUACCUGAGUAAGAAGCACCGGCUAAAUACGUGCCAGCAGCCGCGGUAAUACGUAUGGUGCAAGCGUUAUCCGGAUUUACUGGGUGUAAAGGGAGCGCAGGCGGCAGUGCAAGUCUGGAGUGAAAGGCGGGGGCUCAACCCCCGGACUGCUCUGGAAACUGUACGGCUGGAGUGCAGGAGAGGUAAGUGGAAUUCCUAGUGUAGCGGUGAAAUGCGUAGAUAUUAGGAGGAACACCAGUGGCGAAGGCGGCUUACUGGACUGUAACUGACGUUGAGGCUCGAAAGCGUGGGGAGCAAACAGGAUUAGAUACCCUAGUAGUC
rnacentral:rRNA from 1 species